rnacentral:rRNA from 1 species
AGUGAACGCUGGCGGUAGGCCUAACACAUGCAAGUCGAACGGCAGCACAGUAAGAGCUUGCUCUUACGGGUGGCGAGUGGCGGACGGGUGAGGAAUACAUCGGAAUCUACUUUUUCGUGGGGGAUAACGUAGGGAAACUUACGCUAAUACCGCAUACGACCUUCGGGUGAAAGCAGGGGAUCUUCGGACCUUGCGCGAUUGAAUGAGCCGAUGUCGGAUUAGCUAGUUGGCGGGGUAAAGGCCCACCAAGGCGACGAUCCGUAGCUGGUCUGAGAGGAUGAUCAGCCACACUGGAACUGAGACACGGUCCAGACUCCUACGGGAGGCAGCAGUGGGGAAUAUUGGACAAUGGGCGUAAGCCUGAUCCAGCCAUACCGCGUGGGUGAAGAAGGCCUUCGGGUUGUAAAGCCCUUUUGUUGGGAAAGAAAAGCAGCAGGUUAAUACCCCGCUGUUCUGACGGUACCCAAAGAAUAAGCACCGGCUAACUUCGUG